GUGAGAAAUAGAAAUUAGAGAGAGAGAGAGAGAAAUGUGGAUUGUGGUUGCUGUAGUCCUCAGUUUUUAAGUUCGUGGAAUUCUUGAGAAUGGAAGCACAGGAAAAUUGGUUCUCUCUCUACCCUUUAAUGGCGGAUUAAGAGAGAGAGAGAGAGAGAGAGGAAGAGAGUCGAAAUUCGAGUAAUGGGAAGUCUCGUCUCGUCUCGUCUGUUCUCUAACUGUUGAAGUGAUCGAAACCUGCUUACCGAUCUUGAUGGCGAAAACUGGUGUGUUUGAUUCUAAUCCUACAGUCGUGGGGAAGGCUACGGAUUUGAAGAGGGAGUUACAGAAGCUCAUCGUUGCUAUAAUUGAUGAUGAUAAUUUCUCCAUAGACGCUAUUGAUCAAGCUAAAGAGAUUCUUUGUGCGCUCAAGGAGUUGAAACUCAGGAAGAGAUCACGCUCUUCGAAUCUCUACGAGAAUCUCAUUUGCCCUGAUGAAUUCCGUUGUCCGCUUUCUACAGAGCUCAUGAAAGAUCCUGUUGUUGUCUCAACUGGCGAGACAUUCGACAGACCCUUCAUUCAAAAAUGGUUGAAAUCAGGAAACCGAACGUGCCCAAGAACUCAGCAAGUUCUUUCACACACGAACCUUACUCCCAAUCACUUGAUUCGUGGAAUGAUAUCUCGGUGGUGUAGUAGUCGGGGAAUUGAGUUGCAAGAUCGUGUCCAUUAUCUUGAUGAUGAUAUAAUAACAGAGGCUGAUCGGGGCCGUUUUCAUACGUUAAUAGAGAAAAUGUCUGCAACAUUACCUGAACAAAAAGCAGCUGCUAAGGAGCUUCGGAUGUUGACAAAGCGGAUGCCCUCAUUUCGAGCACUUUUUGGUGAGUCCCAUGAUGCCAUCUCUUUGUUGCUUAGUCCACUUUGUGGAGAUAAAUCCCAAAGUAGUGUUCAUGCGGAUCUGCAAGAAGAUUUGAUCACAACCCUCUUGAAUCUGUCAAUCCAUGACAACAACAAGAAACUUGUUUCUGAAACUCCCAAGGUAGUACCUCUUCUAAUGGAAGCAUUGAGAUCAGGAACCAUGGAAACAAGGAGCAAUGCAGCUGCCGCCCUUUUCACUCUGUCAGCUCUCGACUCAAACAAAGUACUCAUUGGGAAAGCUGGUGCCUUGAAACCACUCAUCGACCUUUUAGAUGAGGGGCAUCCAUUAUCUAUCAAAGAUGCUGCUUCAGCAAUAUUUAAUCUUUGUAUAAUUCAUGAAAAUAAAGCAAGAGCUGUGAAAGAUGGUGCAGUUCGAGUGCUUCUGAAAAAGAUCAUGAACCAAAUGCACGUUGAUGCGUUGUUGGCUAUUCUAGCAAUGCUUUCGAACCAUCCAAAAGCUAUUGAGGAAAUGGGAGAACUUAGAGCUGUUCAUUCCCUGCUCAGAAUUAUCAGGGAAAGUACUUGUUCACGUAACAAGGAAAAUUGCAUUGUGAUCAUCCAUGCUAUUUGCUUAUACGAUCGAACCCAGUGGAAGGACAUGAGGGAGGAGGAGAAAUGCUAUCGAACCAUUUCUGAACUUGCUCAGAAUGGGACUUCAAGAGCCAAGAGAAAGGCCAGUGGCAUACUCGAGAGACUGAACAGGGUAGUUAAUACGACCCAUACUACAUAAUGAAAUUCUUGGCGUUCGAAACUUGUAGAUUCUGCCUCUAAAUCCGGCACUCUGGUCUUUGCCAAGACUCGUUCAUCUCAUCUGUUUUGGUAAUCUUCAAUCAACUUGUCUGUAUAUUCUCUUUUACUGUGGAGUCUAAUUUCGAUUUCACUGCCAGCUUCAUCGGUUCGUGCCUGUGAAUAAAUGUGAAGUUAGUUCACUUGGAGGCUACUUCGAUUUAUUGUCUUCAGUUCUCUCUCUUCAAAUGGUUGUUUUCUAUAAUAUAUAUUACCAUAAAUAGUACACCAAAUCAAGUCAGGUUGCUUUCCAGUCCCCUUUUUUCUGUAUUCAAGGGAGGGAAACCCCCCCUCAUCCUCAUGUCCCUGCUAGCUGUAUCUUUGGAUUUUAUUUAUAGAAUCUUCAUUGAAACAUU